GACGAACGCUGGCGGCGUGCUUAACACAUGCAAGUCGAACGGAAAGGCCCUGCUUUUGUUGGGUUCUCGAGUGGCGAACGGGUGAGUAACACGUGAGUAUCCUGCCCUUGACUUUGGGAUAACUUCAGGAAACUGGGGCUAAUACCGGAUAGGAGCUCCUGCUGCAUGUUGGUGGUUGGAAAGUUUCGGCGGUUGGGGAUGGACUCGCGGCUUAUCAGCUUGUUUGUGUGGUAGUGGCUUACCAAGGCUUUGACGGGUAGCCGGCCUGAGAGGGUUACCGGCCACAAUGGGACUGAGAUACGGCCCAGAAUGGUACGGGAGGCAGCAGGGGGGAAUAUUGCGGAGUGGGCGGGAGCCUGAUGCAGAAACGCCGCGUGCGGGAUGACGGCCUUCGGGUUGUAAACAGAUUUCGAAUGUGACAAAGAGUGAGUGACGGUAAUGGGUAAAGAAGCACCGGCUAACUACGUG
rnacentral:rRNA from 1 species